rnacentral:rRNA from 1 species
UGUAAGGCCUGCUCAAUGAUAUUCAAAUAGCCGCAGAAAUUAACUGUGCUAAGGUAGCAUAAUCAUUUGUUUUUUAAUUAAAAUCUAGAAUGAAAGGUUUAACAAUUUAAAUUCUUUUUUAUUUUUAAAUAUCUAAUUUUUAUUAAAAAUAAAAAUAUUUUUAUUAAAUAAAAAGACGAUAAGACCCUUUUAAACUUAACUAAAGUUUUACUGGGACAGUAAUUUAAUAAUUAUUUUAAAUAAAUUUAUUUAAAUAAAAACCUAAUAUCAUUAAAUUAACAAGUUACUAAAGGGAUAACAGCGUAAUUUAUAUUUUAAGCUCUUAUAUAAAUAUAAGAUUACGACCUCGAUGUUGAAUUAAAUUUCUUUAUUAAGCAAAAUAAAUAAAAGU